rnacentral:rRNA from 1 species
UACGUAGGUGACCAGCGUUGUCCGGAUUUACUGGGCGUAAAGAGCGCGCAGGCGGUCGUUCAAGUCGAGUGUGAAAGCCCCCGGCUCAACUGGGGAGGGUCACUCGAUACUGAUCGACUUGAAGGCAGGAGAGGGAAGCGGAAUUCCCGGUGUAGUGGUGAAAUGCGUAGAUAUCGGGAGGAACACCAGUGGCGAAGGCGGCUUCCUGGCCUGUAACUGACGCUGAGGCUCGAAAGCGUGGGGAGCAAACAGG